rnacentral:rRNA from 1 species
UACGAAGGGGGCUAGCGUUGUUCGGAAUUACUGGGCGUAAAGCGCACGUAGGCGGAUUUGUAAGUCAGGGGUGAAAUCCCGGGGCUCAACCUCGGAACUGCCUUUGAUACUGCAAGUCUUGAGUCCGGAAGAGGUGAGUGGAAUUCCUAGUGUAGAGGUGAAAUUCGUAGAUAUUAGGAAGAACACCAGUGGCGAAGGCGGCUCACUGGUCCGGUACUGACGCUGAGGUGCGAAAGCGUGGGAGCAAACAGGG